rnacentral:rRNA from 1 species
GAAGUGGGGAUGACGUCAAGUCCUCAUGGCCCUUAUGUCCAGGGCUACACACGUGCUACAAUGGCCGGUACAAAGGGCUGCAAGACCGUGAGGUUGAGCGAAUCCCAGAAAGCCGGUCUCAGUUCGGAUUGGAGUCUGCAACUCGACUCCAUGAAGUUGGAAUCGCUAGUAAUCGCGGAUCAGCAUGCCCGCGGUCCGAAUACGUUCCGGGCCUU